AUGCACACACAGACGUGCACACAUGCACACACACACACACACACACACACACACACACACACACAGCAAAGCCGCCCUGCUGGAAGGAAACUUCACCUCGACAUGUAUUUGGAAAUAAGGGAAACACCCCUGACAGAACCAGUCCCACAGAACAUUUCAGAUACGCUUAGGGCCGAAGCAACCCCCACAUUCCCGGAGGCCCUGAGCAGGACUGGCAGAGACUGCAGGAGAAAUCUCCCCUUCUUUUCACCAGCCCUGCAAGUUUCCUCAGCGACGCCCGUGAGGAGCAGGCUGCCCACAGUGAGCUCGGAUGUGGUCAAGGCCCAGAGCUCCAUUCCAGAGAAUCUGCGCAGAAAUCCUUUUGUACAGAGACAGCAGCCUGCAGCCCUGGGAGCAGAAUCCCUGGCGGGGCUCAGAAAGCACAAGAUGGCUUCCUGGUUGCCCUUCGAGCAAGGACUUCUCCCCGAAUUUGCUGAGGCGGCAGGAAGGCUGCCGCGAGCUGUUUCCAUUCCCGGUUCUCUGCGCUGUCAGUGGGCACUUGUUCAUUUCCCGGGCCCUCUCCCGGUGGCUGCGUGUUUGUUUAGCGACGGCUCCAAGAGCCCCCAGAGCUGCCUGCCCGGCACACCUCAGAUGUGCAUAGGUAACAUGGGAACAGAAAGUGGACAAGAAAAGGAAGGCUCUUUCCCACUUCGCCAUUUCGUUGUCAAGGCACGCUUCCCCGUGCUGAUCACAAGGUGCAAGGGGAGUGACAGGAGCUGCUCGUCAUGAAGAAAACAUCUAUUAUGGGUCCUCAGAACAACCACGAGAGAGCUGCCUGGCGAAUUAUUCUCCUGUUUGUCAAACGAAGAAACUGAGUCUCAGAAAAGUGAAGAGGCCUGGGCCGGGGAUUUAGCUCCGUGGUUUCGCCGCCUGCUGCGCAAGCUCAAGGACCCGAGUACAUCCCCGGUACCCACCCACCCCAAAAAAACAAAGUGAAGAGGCUUGGCUAAUGUGGGUCAAAAGCAGGCGCCACUAAAAAGGUAGUUAUGGGAGGAAAGGACCCACACAUCUGGGAAUAGGCUCAUUUCGGGCCACGGAGGAGGGAUACUACUUGGAUCCAGGUUUCCAAGGAGGAAAAAACGUGCAGCAAGUGUGUGGAAAGGGCAAAUUCACACAAGCAAAUGGGGCCCUGGGAAGGCUUCCCAGCCUGAAUUGGAGAGAAGUUGGUCUGAGCUGAAGGCAUCGGACAGAUGAUCAAACUGAACUCUCCACAUGACCCUCCUGUUGAUCACCAGAGUCUCUUGGUUUGGAAAAACCCUGGCUACAGCAGUGACCUCAGUAGAGAGUCACCAGGAAGACUGAGUGCCCUUCGAAGGAUGCUUUCAGCCAGCACAGAGGGUCUCACAGUGCAUGGUGGGCUUCAUUAAGACGGUGCCAGCAUCCCUUUCUUUCCCAAGGGCAAUUCUGUGCAGAGCUUCAUUGAUACAAAGCAACAUUUUCACUUGAGGCCCCAUCCCUCGUUCAAAUUUCUCAAGUCCUGAGCCCACCUGACACCACUCCAUUGAGCUGCCUCUAGUCUCCUUGGACUGAGCCAGGAGCUCUGGACAAGGAAGGCAGUAUUAAUAUGGUGUGUACAAACUGGGUCUACCUCUGAAGGGACCAGCCAUCUAGGACCAUCUGGUACUGAGAUCUGGGACCAUCCUACUCAAUCCAACAGUGCUGAAUCCCGAGAAAAUCGAAACCAGGCUCCCUGAAGCAUAGCCUUCCUGAUGGGAUCCUUGAAUGGCUCCAGAAUGGUGAUAGGUACUGUCUCCGAAGCCAUUUGAUUCUGAAACUGAGGCAGGUUCAGGUUUGGGGUCCCUGAUUCUAUGACAUUUACAGGAGCUUCUGUGUAGGUUUCAGUCCUGAUCCCCCAAGAUUGAGGCUGUUGAGACAUGACACUAUCAACAGAUGAAAUUAUUCUCAGACAUGCAGGGGUCAUGCCAAAAUAGGCUUCCAUCCACUCCACCCCAGUGAGCAGAAAGUGAAUAUUGCUUGAGAGACAUACCUGGGCUCUCCUGAGAGGAACAAAAUGGAAGAAACUUCAGUGGAAUCGCCUGCUGAUUCGAUAACCUUCGUAAAUCUUGUGGUGUUGUUUAAUCUUACUUUGGAAAUCAUCUUUUAAACACCAUGACUGCGGUUUCUUACUGUGUAGUGCCUCAUCAGAGUGAUUCCCCACUGCAAUAACUGAGGUUAGCAAAGAAGGUAUUAUUAUCUUGAUCAUAACGAGGAGAAGGAGGCCGAAUGAGGUUGAGUGACUUCUCAAAGCCACACAGGUAGUAUGGGGAGAGCCUAGUCCCUUAUUUCUUGUCUUAAUUCUAAUUCUAACUGUGCUAUAAACAUGUUCUCACCUGCCUUCAUGCUCCCACCCCACUAGCAAUAAAACAGUGAAACAGGAAAUCGUCAGUACACUGUGUUGUCCCUGGGCUGAUGGGCUAGGAGUUUCGUCUCAUAUGGUUUAGUCUUUCUGGGGUUUCCCCAGUGCGUUGAGAGUGGAGAAAGACUUGGUAUGAUGAUUACAUUCAGGUCAGAGACCAGCUUCUCUCAAGAGCGUUCUUUUCACAGAUGGAAAAGAUACGUUAAAAUUGCCAAAUAAAUUAGGAAAUACUUGGCAGAACCUGGAAGAGCCUCCAGACUGGCGUUACAUAACAUGCAUAUACAUUAUACAUAUGCACAUUAUAUAAGGUGACAUAGUACUUAAUGUGCUGUAUAUAUUAUGUAAAUUACAUAUUUGUGAGUAAUCAUGAUAAAUAUAGAGACCCACUAAUCACUUUUUUACACAUACUCAGUGACAGAUUAGGAAGUUGCUUUGCCAGAGAGUCUUAAAACUUACUCUCUCCUGCUGCUUUGGUUCCAACUCCUGCCAAAAAUAAUUGCAUCAACUUUUCCCAUCUCGAGCACCCUCUUCUCUUGACCAAAACUCUCAGUUACCUCCUGUCCCAGGCAGGCUGUGCCUUCCAUGCACCACUGCCACCGUCAGGAUCCACAAAAGUUGAAUUCCGGGGAUGGAAGGAUCCAGACUCUCAGACUCCCUAUGCCACAGGCUGACACCUCAACGCUGUCAGCCAGGUGGGUGUCUAAUGCCAACAGUAAAGGCAGGAGGAGGGCAGGGGCAGAGGGAAGGAGGAAGAGCCUACUAACCCUCCAAGGAAGCAAGCACCAUAGCCCUCAGCUCCCAGUUCCCUGAUCCAAUGCUAGUCAAUCAGAAAAUUAUUCCAUAUAUCUAAUCUAAGCCCUCGUAGUGUAUCUGAAGCCAUAAUGUCCUUGAAGGUGUCUUACAAAAACUAGUAUGAGAGUCGGGGAUUUAGCUCAGUGGUGAUGCCACCUGCCUUGCAAGCGCAAGGUCCCGAGUUCGAUCCCUGGUACCAAAAAACGAAACAAAACAAAAACUAGUAUGAAGUGCUCUGUGAAAAAAGUUCUAUAGUCAAGUACGAGGUCCCUAUUAGGAGAUACAUAGAGAAACUUGGAGAACUUCCAGGAUAGAACCACGGAGUCUUCUGUCCGUAUCUAAAGAUUAGGAAAAAUCACCUUCAGCCCACCAUUACUGUUCUCAGUGGAGAUAGGAAUCUGCAGGUAACCACUCUCUCCAAUAAUAACCCAGGUAGUACUUUUCUAGGACAAGAAGUCUCCCCUUGCAGACACUUUGCAGUUGUUUGUUUUGUCUUUUGCUUGUUUUUUGAGAAGGUCUCACUAUGUUACCCAGGUUGACCUUGAACUGUUGGGCUCAAAUGAUCCUCCUGUUUCAGCCUCUCAAGUAGCUGGGAUGACAGGCAUGUGCCACCAUAACCAGCUCUUUCUUAUUUAUUCUCUGUGGCUGUUUUAAUUGUUCUCUACACACCUUCAAGCAAGAAUCAAGGAUCUGGACUCUGUUCCCUGAGUGGGGAAGGGACUGGAAAGGGGGUUAAUGAGGGACAAAGUAAAGGGGAGACAUGACUGCUAGCAGGUUCAGACUUCAUCUGUGUGGCCAAGGGAAUGGAACAACAGCUAAAGAAUACAGUUGUAGAGAGGUGGAAUUUCAUUCAAGUAAUUGCUACUCUUGGAGCCGGCCUGAUAUGGAAAGGGCUGCUGGUGUGUGUGUUGGGUGCUGAUGAACAUCCACUUGCUCUUACAGGAAAGGCUUUGACCUGGUUGAGCAGAGAUAAGCAAUAGUUCAUUUCCCUUGCCCAAAAAGCCGUGGAAGCUGUUUUUGUAAUCAUCAAUGUUAAAUCAAUAGAUGUAGUCAUUCCUUUUUAGCUGCAUUUCUUGUUAGUCCUUAUUUUCUGAAAGAAUGAUAAAUAUCUCCAAGAAAAAUUUCUAGAUCAGUGUACAGUGACCAAUUAGACCAGACUUACACAUCCAUUACUGACCUGACUCACAUAUCCUCAGGGCAGCUGGUGAUGGUAUGAUCUCUCCUCAUCAGCUCUUAAGAGUUGAAGGAAUGGGUUACUACUAGUAUUAGGACCAAAAGAGAGUUUCCAUCUCUAUUGGGGUCCAUAUUAGCAGUGUGAAAAUCUUCUAGUCACAGAUAUAAGGCAUACCUCAGACUUGAAAUAGCAAGGAAAUAAACUAUCCCAUACCUCAAAUAUCAAUCAAUUUUUAAAUAAAACUGGAGAACAGAAUCAUACAGACUUUCAUAUGGAGUCACUGCUUUUAGCUCAACUGAUGUUCUACCAUAUUGGAAUGCAUAUUUCAAUAUUCUGUUAUAGAAAGAAAACAGGAAAAAGAGAUAAGAAAGGUAAUUCCCAUUCACUGCUUACUAGGUGCCAGUUACUAUGUCAAGAUC
rnacentral:lncRNA from 1 species